UACGGAGGGGGCUAGCGUUGUUCGGAAUUACUGGGCGUAAAGCGCACGUAGGCGGCUUUGUAAGUUAGAGGUGAAAGCCCGGGGCUCAACUCCGGAAUUGCCUUUAAGACUGCAUCGCUAGAAUUGUGGAGAGGUAAGUGGAAUUCCGAGUGUAGAGGUGAAAUUCGUAGAUAUUCGGAAGAACACCAGUGGCGAGGGCGGCUUACUGGACACAUAUUGACGCUGAGGCACGAAAGCGUGGGGAUCAAACAGG
rnacentral:rRNA from 1 species